rnacentral:rRNA from 1 species
UCUUCUACCUCUGAUGGCUUUUUUAUAUCCCAGGAAAAGUAUAUCCAGGAUCUUCUUGCUCGUGCUGCUCUUUCUGACGAGCGCACUGUUGAGACUCCUAUGGAGCUCAAUGUUCACCUCCGUGCUACUGCUGGUGAUCCUCUCCCUGACCCGACGCGUUAUCGUCAUCUCGUUGGCAGUCUUGUCUAUCUAGCUGUCACUCGUCCGGACAUCUCCUAUCCGGUUCAUAUUCUGAGUCAGUUUGUUUCGGCUCCCACAUCGGUUCAUUAUAGUCAUCUCCUUCGUGUUCUCCGAUAUCUUCGGGGCACGAUCUCUCACCGUCUCUUCUUUCCUAGCUCCAGUUCUUUACAGCUUCAGGCCUAUGCGGAUGCUACGUGGGCUAGUGAUCCUUUUGAUCGCCGUUCGCUUUCUGCUUACUGUGUUUUUCUUGGCAGUUCUCUCAUUGCCUGGAAGACGAAGAAACAGAUUGCAGUUUCCCGUUCGAGUGCUGAGGCUGAGUUGCGAGCUAUGGCUCUUUUGACGGCAGAGGUGACUUGGUUACGGUGGUUACUUCAGGACUUUGGUGUUUCUGUCACU